rnacentral:ncRNA from 1 species
AUUAAAUAAUCAUUUUCAGGUGCCCCUCGGGGAGAAUAGGAAAAUAAGUGAGAAGCUUAUACGGGCCCGCCGCUGUAAAUUGGGAAUUUCUGUCAAGAUGCCACUGUUUAAAAAAUGGGAAGGCGACAGCGAUGAGGAUCAUGAGUCAGAAGACCUGCCGGAGAAUUAGAUGAUGA